rnacentral:rRNA from 1 species
GACGAACGCUGGCGGCGUGCUUAACACAUGCCAGUCGAACGGAAAGGCCUGCUUUCCCUUGUGGUUUGCGGGUACUCGAGUGGCGAACGGGUGAGUAACACGUGAGUGAUCUGUCCCCAACUUGGGUAUAAGCCUGGGAAACGGGGUCUAAUUCCCGAUAGGACUGCAGGGUGGUGCCUGUGGUGGAAAACGAUUUUCUUGUGGUUGGGGAUGAGCUUGUGGCCGAUCAGCUUGGUGGUGGGGUAAUGGCCUACCAAGGCGACGACGGGUAGCCGGACUGAGCGGAUGAUGAUCGACACUGGCACUGAGACACGGACCAGGCUCAUACGGGUGGGAGAGGUGGGGAUUGUGAGUCAAGGAGAGCGAGCGGGAUCCAGACGCAGCGCCGCGGUGUAGAAGAUGUCGGGCUUGUGGAGGUAUUCUGCUGGGGAAGACGAGGAGGCGGCCAGGUUGGAGCGGUGGUGACGGUACUGGAAGAAGAAGCACCGGCUAACUACGUG